rnacentral:rRNA from 1 species
CAUCACUACGCUAGAUGCAUAUCAAUAAGCGGAGGAAAAGAAACUAACAAGGAUUCCCUUAGUAACGGCGAGUGAAGCGGGAAGAGCUCAAAUUUGAAAUCUUCAAGGUUCUACCUUGACGAAUUGUAGUUUAUAGAAGUGUUUUCUGUUAGUAGAGUGGCAAAAGUUCUUUGGAAUAGGACAUCAUAGAGGGUGAGAAUCCCGUAUUUGGUCAUUCUUUCUAGCUUUGUGAUACACUUUCAACGAGUCGGAUUGUUUGGGAAUGCAGUCCAAAAUGGGUGGUAAAUUUCAUCUAAAGCUAAAUAUUGGCGAGAGACCGAUAGCGAACAAGUACCGUGAGGGAAAGAUGAAAAGAACUUUGAAAAGAGAGUUAAACAGUACGUGAAAUUGUCAAAAGGGAAGCGUUUGACACCAGUGUUGUUUUUCCGAAAAUCAAUUACGAAUGUUUUGUUUUUAAGAAGUUAUGACUUCAUCGGCUUGCUUCUUUCUUUACGAAACUUUCUUAAUGCACUUUUCGGUUAACAAGUCAACAUCAAUUUCUUUUGUUGUAAAAGGGUAUGAGGAAGGUGGCUUUCUUUUCGGAGAAAGUGUUUAUAGCCUUGUACCUCUGCAAUCGGAGAGAUUGAGGUCUGCAGCGUAGAUCCUUCGGGGUUAGAUACAUUUGUGCUAAGUUAUAGCUUUUCAUAGACAACUUGUUGACUAUGAUUGAGUCUUGUAGCUUACUCGCUUAUGCUAUUUUACCUACGCUUAGGAUGUUGAAGAUAUGCGCGACACG